rnacentral:rRNA from 1 species
AUUGAACGCUGGCGGCAGGCCUAACACAUGCAAGUCGAGCGGAAGGGGCUUCGGCCCCGAGAGCGGCGGACGGGUGAGGAUAGCGUGGGAAUCUGCCUGUAGAUGGGGGAUAGCCCGGAGAAAUCCGGAUUAAUACCGCAUAAUACCUGAGGGUUAAAGUGGAGGAUCGCAAGACUUCACGUCUACAGAUGAGCCCACGUCAGAUUAGCUAGUUGGUAGGGUAAAGGCCUACCAAGGCGACGAUCUGUAGCUGGCCUGAGAGGGUGGCCAGCCACACUGGAACUGAGACACGGUCCAGACUCCUACGGGAGGCAGCAGUGGGGAAUAUUGGACAAUGGGCGCAAGCCUGAUCCAGCCGUGCCGCGUGUGUGAAGAAGGCCUCCGGGUUGUAAAGCACUUUAAGUUGGGAGGAAGGUUCCAAGGCUAAUACCUUUGGGAAUUGACGUUACCGACAGAAUAAGCACCGGCUAAUUCCGUGCCAGCAGCCGCGGUAA